rnacentral:rRNA from 1 species
ACACCGGCAGCUCAAGUGGUAGCCGCUUUUAUUGGGCCUAAAGCGUCCGUAGCCGGUCUGAUAAGUCUCUGGUGAAAUCCCGCAGCUUAACUGUGGGAAUUGCUGGAGAUACUAUCAUGACUCGAGGUCGGGAGAGGCUGGAGGUACUCCCAGGGUAGGGGUGAAAUCCUGUAAUCCUGGGAGGACCACCUGUGGCGAAGGCGUCCAGCUGGAACGAACCUGACGGUGAGGGACGAAAGCCAGGGGCGCGAACCGGAUUAGAUACCCGGGUAGUCCUGGCCGUAAACGAUGUGGACUUGGUGUUGGGAUGGCUUCGAGCUGCCCCAGUGCCGAAGGGAAGCUGUUAAGUCCACCGCCUGGGAAGUACGGCCGCAAGGCUGAAACUUAAAUGAAUUGGCGGGG